GACGAACGCUGGCGGCGUGCUUAACACAUGCAAGUCGAACGGGUCUGCCCUGUUUUUUGCGGGGUGGGUCAGUGGCGAACGGGUGAGUAACACGUGAGUAACCUGCCCCUCACUUCUGGAUAACCGCUUGAAAGGGUGGCUAAUACGGGGUGUUCUGGCUGUGCCGCAUGGUGUGGCUGGGAAAGAUUCACUUUUGUGGUGUUUUGGUGGGGGAUGGGCUCGCGGCCUAUCAGCUUGUUGGUGGGGUGAUGGCCUGCCAAGACUUUGGCGGGUAGCCGGCCUGAGAGGGUGGGCGGUCACACUGGGACUGAGAUACGGCCCAGACUCCUGCGGGAGGCAGCAGUGGGGGGUAUUGCACAAUGGGCGGAAGCCUGAUGCAGCGACGUCGCGUGAGGGAUGGAGGCCUUCGGGUUGUGAACCUCUUUCGCCGGUGAAGAAGGUCCUGCUCUUUGUGGUGGGGUUGACGGUAGCCGGGUUAUGAAGCGCCGGCUAACUACGUG
rnacentral:rRNA from 1 species